GACGAACGCUGGCGGCGUGCCUAAUACAUGCAAGUCGAACGAGAGCGCCCGGUGCUUGCACUGGUCACUCUAGUGGCGCACGGGUGAGUAACACGUGGGUAACCUGCCCAUCAGAGGGGGAUAACAUCCGGAAACGGAUGCUAACACCGCAUAGGUCUUCGAGCCGCAUGGCUUGAAGAAGAAAAGAGGCGCAAGCUUCUGCUGAUGGAUGGACCCGCGGUGCAUUAGCUAGUUGGUGAGGUAACGGCUCACCAAGGCCGUGAUGCAUAGCCGACCGGAGAGGGUGAUAGGCCACAUUGGGACUGAGACACGGCCCAUACUCCUACGGGAGGCAGCAGUAGGGAAUCUGCCGCAAUGGACGCAAGUCUGACGGAGCAACGCCGCGUGAGUGAAGAAGGUUUUCGGAUCGUAAAACUCUGUUGUUAGAGAAGAACAAGUGCUAGAGUAACUGUUAGCGCCUUGACGGUAUCUAACCAGAAAGCCACGGCUAACUACGUG
rnacentral:rRNA from 1 species